ensembl:lncRNA
AGGUGUGCUGCAUCCAGGAAGUGUGUGCUGGGGAUGCUGGGAGUUGUAGUGUCAGAACUCUGCAGACAGUUCCCCCCGGUGACCAGAGGGGGAGACAUUGCUCAGACUUCUGUCAACUGCCACAGUUUCCAUUGCUCCAUUAGCAAUUAGUCCAGUGCUAUUGUUAUUAGCCUAAUCUAUCUAGUCCACUUAGUUUUGUUUUUAUUCUAGUAAAAAAGAAAAGAAAUGACUGGACAAGAUAAAACUGGUAUAAUUGCUAGUUUGAGGGACAAAGGAAAUUGUAGAUGUAUACUUUAAAUAAAAAUACACUUUUUUUUAAUACCGUAAGUUUACAAUCAUUUUGAUAAAUGGUUGGUUGAACUGUACUUCAAUAAAGAACUUAAAAAAAAAACAAAACUCCAAACUGAGACCAAACUUGCCCAAAGCACAUUCUGCCCAGAAAGUCUGAAUGUAAUCGGCCCAACGAGGCAUUUCUGCUAAAUCCUUGUGGUUUUCUUUAUUUGAAGACAAAAAAACAUGACAAAAGAGACAGGAUUCUAAUUCUUUACAACUUUUGGUUGAAUAAUUAUAAUAAAAUUUGCUUAUUUUGUUUGUCAGAAAAAGUUUGAAAAAUAAAUUAAUUUAGCUAAAAAAAAUAAACAAAAUAAAACACAUAAAUAAACAAACUGCUUCUUUUACCGACUUUCUUUUAUAAAAAUAAAAAUAGCCAACAAAUAAAAAUCCUUUAGUCUGUAAUUUUACAAUAAAUUCCAGAAUUAUUUCAACAUUUAGAUUGUAUAUGUGACACGUUUAAUUAUCUAAGUGAUUAUAAUAUUCCAUCAACUUAAAGACAGAAUUAUUUCAGUUGAAGCUGAACUUAAAGACGGUGAGUUUUCACACAAACAUCCAGCUUAAAAAAUGAAAUUGUUAUUUUUUUUGGUAACGUUUCCAGCAAAACUGUACUUUCAAACCAAAACAUGUUUUUUUAUGUUCUGUGUUCUCCAGACAGAGCUCAGUGUGGAGCUGCAGCUCCUCCUCUCAUGUCCAGGACCAAACUGCUCAUCAGUUCUCUGCUCUUCAUCUUCUACAAUGUCCUCCUCAUCCUCUUCUUCCUCAAAUACAGACGGUGGACUCGAGCUGGAAACGAUGCUGGAAGAUGGAAAAGACGUCGUCUCACAGUGGAGACGUGAGAGGAAACAAGACGUCUGUCGUCUCUAUCAGUCCUUUAUGCUGAGAAACAUUCAUGCCCUUUAA